UUCUGCGGUACAUGGGUCCCGGAGGGUUUCCCUGCUUCACCUGUCAGAAGCCAGCCUUCCCGGCAGGAGAGUGACGAGGAAGGCCCUCCCCAGCCGGCAGCUGGUGGCUCCACACUGCCUAGGGGAGAGAUGAAGGCACUGUGCAUGGUGUUGGAGAUACAAAGACGAAUUAAGCAUGAAUUAGGCCAUUAGAGAUGACCUCUGCCCACAGGAGGUUGGAGAAGCAAUGUCUAAGAAGGUGAAUCGUUCCUCGAUGAAGCCCGGAACCAGAGACAGACUGUCCCAUGUCUUUGCCUGGCCUUGCUUAGUCAUCCACGUGCACAUUCACGACCUUGGCCUUUCCCCCAGUGGCCAUCAUCUUGAGUCACUGAAGUGUUGUCAACCACUUAGAAAUACACAGCCGGUAGAAAACUCCUCCACUCUGGACACUUUGAAGGCUUCUGUCUGAUCUACCCUGUGAAGGAUAGAUCUCCUGAGCACCUGCCAAGCCCAGGAUGGGUUGGGACUAUCUCAAGAGGCAUCACUCGCCCACCCCUGUCCCCUGAACAGUGUCACACCUUCAUUCUUUCCUUAAGCAAGCAUCCUGCUCCAGGGUACAGGGUUGAAUGAGACACAGUCCCUGCCCCCAAGGUACUCUCCUGCCCUUCUAGAAUGAUCCAGAGGAGCUGCCCAGGUGAGUGACCUCAUGGCAUGACAUCAUGGGAAUCUGCCCAAUCUUAUUCAAUUUACUCAACAAAUAUUUGUUGAGCUCCUAGUGUUUGCCAAGAACUGUGCUGGGUGCUAGGAUAGAAGAGCUGAAGGAGCUCGCUGCUCAGGGGAAGACAGAUAAAUAAAUAGGCGGUCACAACUCAGUGUGAUAAGAGCUAAAAUGGGUGAGAGUGCUGGACCUGGGAUGUUUUAAGUUUCUGGGCUCUGCCUCCCGCCUGCUUUAUUAACCAGGGCAUUUCUGUUACAUUCCAAGAAAUGCAAAGUCAGUUGUCAUGGCAUUCACACAAGACUCUUGAGAGCUACCUUGACCUCCCUUCAGACCAGCUGGUAGAGUUACGGAGGGUAUCAGCUGGGGAGGUGAUUGAUGGGCGAACACGUGGUUCAGAGUUCAAAGAGGUGAGGGGUGAGCAAAUGAUGCAUUGGUUGUCCUGGUCCUGGAACCUCAACUGGCCACUUGGCCUCUUGGAAGUCAAUGCCAAGUGUAGCAUCCCGAGAAGAGAAAACACUAGCCAGGCACCAAAGACAUUUCUUUUCCUUUUAUCCCAGUGACUCAAAUCUGUGGGCCCCACUGAUAUUUGUUUUGACUUCUUGGUUCUGCAGCCUGGGGCGGCUCUUGUGCCAUGGGGUGACAGGUCUUUUAAUGGACAAAUUAGCAGUCUUCUUGGUCACCUGUUAGGCCAGGCAGUCUUGAGCCACCCACAGGAAACUGGAUCAUGGGUUCCCCUCGCACCCAAGGUAUUACCAGAACUUGAUCCUGCUUUGAUAAAAAUCUCAGAAGCAUCUGAGUCCGCAUCUCUCUGUCCAUUUUCACAGUAAGGAAAGUAUAACAUGCAUCCCGAAUGGAGCCACUCGAUAGCAGUGUGCCAGCAACUCUGCUGGAGGAAAUCAGGAAUGAAAACGAGUUUUUGUGAUUUCUUUUGCACGUGUAUGUUCACUCACACGCCUUUUCUCCCCUCUGGGUCUUGAUGAUCCAAAAGGAGCUUUCAGAACAGAUGGACAGAUGCUUUGCCUCCUCACAAGCCUCUUAUUUGGAGAUGUUCCCUUGCAUCUUCUUUUUCAACCAGGAGCUGACUUCAGAGUCUACCUGCAAAGUGGCCUGUGUCGAUCUAAAUGCUUGAAACUCAUUCCCCAAAGAAAUAAGCCCCUGACAUCUAACAAGUCACGCCAAUCACCCACGCAGUGCUGUCCUUCUAACAUGGAUUUCUGGGUACACCGUGAGUCCCUCCCGUUGCUUUCCCUCCGACCUGCCAGCCACCUGUCCUGGUGCCUGGUCACACACAGUACAUUGUUGAAGAUAAUAUGAAUCUAGUCCUUGCACUUUUCUCCUUCCCAUCAGCUCAUCACCACCCAGAGUUACGCAUCUACUUGGCUCUAGGUUGUUCAUGGGCUUCUGUGAGAGAAAUAGCCCAGAAGAAUGCUUCCAAGUGACAGAAAGUUCUAGAUGCACUUAGUGUUUCUCAAGUCUCAGCUGCUUCUUCAUUUGUAAAUGGGAUAAUCCCCACUUAUGAUGCUAUCCGAGAGCUGGAGGUAGCACAUGGGACUGAGCUCAUAACACAGGCGCUGGGAACUAGCGGCCGUGCUUACCGUUGUCAUCGUCAUGCAUAGUUUCUUGUUCUCUGUUUUAAGCUGUGGCCCAAGCAUCUUUGAUCAAGCAAAAGGUCCAAGCACUGCUCUAUUUUAUCUCAAGCCAGUGAUGCAUGGAGGAGAACGAGGUACAAAGGUGGGGGACCAUUCCCUGGUGGAGAAAAAGCAAGAGAAGUACAGCUGCUCCCCUUCCUCUUUCAACAGGCUGACUCAUGAGUACGUGUAUGUAUGUGUGUGUGUACAUAUGACAUAUAUGUAAAAUAUGUGUGUCAUGUGGAGUCCAAAAUCCUUUCUCACUCCACCACUCCUCCCCCUCUUGCUUCACCUUUCUUCAUUUUCUGCUCUGGUUCCCCAGCUGUUACAGCUGCAAGUCACAUGCCACUCCCUAGGUCCUAGGCAUAAAGAAGCCUUGGGCAUCUGAGCCUUGUGGCGUGUGGGCUCCCCACUGGACAGAAUGUAAUUGGAAGGAGGCAGACCCACUCCCUCAGCUUCCCUUAGGAGGACUCAUUAGGUAAUAUAAAACACACCUCUGCUUGUUUCCUUAUCCUUUCCAAACCAAAGAUAAAAGCAAAUUUAAAAUAUUAUUUUUAAAUGCCUUUAUUUUAUUUACUUACUUAUAUGUGGUGCAAGAGCAUCCCAGCAGAGAAAAUAGUAGUAUCUGUCACAGCGCACUGAGAAAUAGGCAAGAGGCAGGAGAGGAGCUCAGCAGAACAUCUAGGGGCACAUCCAGCAGGAACUCACAGGCCUCGCUCAGGAAAGUGGUGGAGAACAGGUGGUCGGAGCGGCCACAGAGGAGCCAUCUCCAGGGCCUGGGCAGCGGAUGUGCUGGCUGUCAUCAGAGGCGGUGGAGGCCAGCAGAGCUGCUUCUUCCCACCCACCCACAUGGAAUUCACAUCCCUGGAAAGAUACACAAAAGUCCUAUCAGCCAGACCUCUCUGUGAGGAUGGCAAGGCGACUUCCAUCCUGAAACACUGAAGCAAACCUUGCUGAGAGCAUCAUCCGACCCCGAUGGCAUCCUCAACCCCUGCUCUGUGGAGGCUCCUUCCUGCCUCCCUGCUGUCUAUAGACUUCACAUUGCAUUCCUCUCUGCUGUGCAAAGAUAUGCAUCUUCUCCGCAGCUCCUACUCCUCCAGAAAACAGAAUCAAAUCCCUCGUGGUAUUUGGAAAAUAAAGAAACCUUCUAUUAACAAGAUCUACUCUCCCCCUAGCACAAUGCAGGCACCUUUGUUACUUGAGGGUGUUUUCCUUUUCUUCAAACAGUUCAUCCAAAGUGUUUUUUUUAAAAAAAAAAAACUACUAUAAACUAUUAAUUUUUUAUGAAGACCCAGAAGAGAGGAAUUUGGAGACUCAAAACCUAAAGAAAUGAUAAGGAGAGGGAAGUGCUCAUUACUUGGAUUUGAUCACUACCCAUUGGACACAUGGCGUGAAUUAUCACACUGUACCCCACAAGUGAAUAUGGUUAUUAAGUGUUAAUUAAAAAGGAAAACAGAGUAACAAUUAAAAAGCAAUUUUGAUGGUUGAAAUGGUUUACAUCUUAUGGCACCUAUACGUAGCAAAUAUUUAUUUUAAUCUUUUCGUGAUUGUUUGCUUAUUGCAAUGUCUUCCAAUACACUUAAAUUUGCUAAGAAUAGGCAAAUACGCUCACCUCCCCCCCAUACCUUCAUCCUUAACACAGAACCUGUCAUUUAGCCAACAUUGAUGGAACAGAACCAAAGGGACAGAAAUCAUGAUCUUACUAUUUUCUGUUGGACUAUAUUACAUAGAUUUGAGGCCAAUGGGUUGAUUUUUUUCCCCCUUGAGCUUGGUAAAAUUGCGGGCAAACUAGGAACUCCGGACUACAAAGCAGAGUUCAGAAGUCUAAUGUCACUUAGGUCUUGACUGAGACAGUAAUAAAAUCCUCGCCUCCCUCCUUCUCUUCUUUCUUCCCUUCAUCCCUGGUCGGCCUACCCAGCUCCCCUGCCUCCUCUUGCUGCUCAGGCCAGCCUCUGCAGCGUGCUCAGAGGGGAGCACCCAUGUGCCACGGAGAAUGGGAACUUCUCCCGGAUGGGGCUCCAGCCCCUCCAUGUUCUUUCGGCACCUGGGACACGUUGCUUUUGGCGUCACUCCAGGAUAUUCACGGUCACCAGCAACUUGUCCGAUCACCUGGAGCAGAAAAUGGAUGGAUUACUUCACUCAGGAGACUCUCUGACCUCUAGCAUCUGGUGGCAGAGCUCUGAAGCAAAGACGCCCACUGUGGAUUGGCUGGCGUGCUCCUCCUGUCACCAUGUCCCUGUCAAGGUCUUCUUGAUGAAGGGCUGGGAAUGAAGGGUGGCCGCCAGGUAGCUGCAUGGUGGGCCACCUCACCUCAUCUCUAAGCUGCAACUGUAGAAAGGCACGUGGCAAUAUCUAGCAGUACUCUAGCAUCCAGCCUCAUCCAGAUGUAAUAUCAAACAUUAAAAUCUGGUGUGUCGACGUAACUAUGUAUGUAAAAGAAACCAUUGAAAACCAUUGAGAAGCCUCGAUAAAGGGGGCCCUGAUUUCUAUGGCAGGUAGAAUAUGAGAUGCAUGAGGGCUAAAGGUUGGAUCCAGCUUGUAUUCUCCAGAACACUUUGCCCACUGCCCUAUCUCAUGGCAGGUGCUUAAUAACCUUUCAGUGAAAGAACAAAUCAUCCCUCUGAUUAUCCCUCCCUUAUCCUGCUAAUUGUAGAGGAAUUGUGCUUCCUCAUGUUAAGAGAGCCAAGGAAUAAA